rnacentral:lncRNA from 1 species
ACCGCUCUGAUGGUGGCACAUGCCGAGUCAACCGAGUAAGCUAUUGUUAAGGGCCGUGACCCGAGCCUCCAUCAGCCGCCCGCUCUCAUGAAAGGCUGUCGGUGGUAGUCCACGUGCUUCUCUUAAGUGCCUGCAUUCCGCAGUGUCACCAAUAUUUCCAUUAGUGUUUCUUUUGUCUUUUUUUUAAGACCGAGCCUCGUUCUGUCACCCAGGCUGGAAUGCAGUGGCUCGAUCUCGGUUAACGGCAACCUCCGCGUCCCGAGUUAAGCAAUUCUGCUUCAGCCUCCCAAGUAACUGGGACUACAGGCGCGCGCCACCACGCUAGGCUUUUGUAUUUUUAGUAGAGACGGGGUUUCGCCAUGUUGGCCAUACUGGUCUUGCACUCCUGACCUCUGGUGAUCCACCAGCCGUGGUCUCCCAAAGUACUGGGAUUACAAGCCGUGAGCCACCGUGCCCGGCCGCCAUUGGUGAUUCUUAACUGCGGGUGCAGUGCUCUUUUGUAACAUUAAGUGUAUCCUUUACUUGUCGCUAGAUAAUGAAUGGUAUGUUACCUACAUCAUUGGUUUUAAAAGACGACAUAAAGAACCGUGGAACAAUGAAUUAAAAUCUGUACCCGAUCUCUUUAGGUAUGGUGCUGGGUGCAGAUGCAAUGUGGCUCUGGAUAGCACCUUAUGGACAGUUGUGUCCCAAAGGAAGGAUGAGAAUAGCUACUGAAGUCCUAAAGAGCAAGCCUAACUCAAGCCAUUGGCACACCGGCAUUAGACAGAAAACUGGAAGUUGAAAUGGUGGAGUCCAACUUGUCUGGACCAGCUUAAUGGUUCUGCUCCUGGUAACGUUUUUAUCCACGGAUGGCUUGCUUGGGUAAGGACGUGAAGACAGUUCCUGUCAUACCUUUUUUAAAGGUAUGGAGAGUCGGCUUGACUACACUGUGUGGAGCAAGU